CCUACGGGUGGCAGCAGUGAGGAAUAUUGGUCAAUGGGCGCGAGCCUGAACCAGCCAAGUAGCGUGAAGGAUGACUGCCCUACGGGUUGUAAACUUCUUUUAUAAAGGAGUAAAGUUAGGCACGUGUGCCUUUUUGUAUGUACUUUAUGAAUAAGGAUCGGCUAACUCCGUGCCAGCAGCCGCGGUAAUACGGAGGAUCCGAGGGUUAUCCGGAUUUAUUGGGUUUAAAGGGAGCGUAGAUGGGUUGUUAAGUCAGUUGUGAAAGUUUGCGGCUCAACCGUAAAAUUGCAAUUGAUACUGGCAGUCUAGAGUAUAGUUGAGGUAGGCGGAAUUCGAGGUGUAGCGGUGAAAUGCUUAGAUAUCACGAAGAACACCGAUUGCGAAGGCAGCUUACUAAACUGCCACUGACAUUGAUGCUCGAAAGUGUGGGUAUCAAACAGGAUUAGAUACCCGAGUAGUC
rnacentral:rRNA from 1 species